rnacentral:rRNA from 1 species
AUUGAACGCUGGCGGCAGGCUUAACACAUGCAAGUCGAGCGAGCCGAGGACGGGUGAGUCAUGUCUGGGAAACUGCCUGAUGGAGGGGGAUAACUACUGGAAACGGUAGCGAAUACCGCAUACCAUCAGCUUUGCCCAGAUGGGAUUAGAUCGUCGGUUGGGUAAAGGCUCACCUAGGCGACGAUCCCUAGCUGGUCUGAGAGGAUGACCAGCCACACUGGAACUGAGACACGGUCCAGACUCCUACGGGGGGCAGCAGUGGGGAAUAUUGCACAAUGGGCGCAAGCCUGAUGCAGCCAUGCCGCGUGUGUGAAGAAGGCCUUCGGGUUGUAAAGCACUUUCAGCGAGGAGGCGUUACUCGCAGAAGAAGCACCGGCUAACUCCGUGCCAGCCGCCGCGGUAAUUC